UGCAGUCGAACGGAAAGGNCCUUCGGGGUGCUCGAGUGGCGAACGGGUGAGUAACACGUGGGUGAUCUGCCCUGCACUUUGGGAUAAGCCUGGGAAACUGGGUCUAAUACCGGAUAUACCCUGCUGGUCGCAUGGCCUGGUGGGGGAAAGCUUUUGCGGUGUGGGAUGGGCCCGCGGCCUAUCAGCUUGUUGGUGGGGUGAUGGCCUACCAAGGCGACGACGGGUAGCCGGCCUGAGAGGGUGUCCGGCCACACUGGGACUGAGAUACGGCCCAGACUCCUACGGGAGGCAGCAGUGGGGAAUAUUGCACAAUGGGCGCAAGCCUGAUGCAGCGACGCCGCGUGAGGGAUGACGGCCUUCGGGUUGUAAACCUCUUUCAAUGGGGACGAAGCGUAAGUGACGGUACCUAUAGAAGAAGCACCGGCCAACUACGUGCCAGCAGCCGCGGUAAUACGUAGGGUGCGAGCGUUGUCCGGAAUUACUGGGCGUAAAGAGCUCGUAGGUGGUUUGUCGCGUUGUUCGUGAAAACCGGGGGCUUAACCCUCGGCGUGCGGGCGAUACGGGCAGACUGGAGUACUGCAGGGGAGACUGGAAUUCCUGGUGUAGCGGUGGAAUGCGCAGAUAUCAGGAGGAACACCGGUGGCGAAGGCGGGUCUCUGGGCAGUAACUGACGCUGAGGAGCGAAAGCGUGGGGAGCGAACAGGAUUAGAUACCCUGGUAGUCCACGCCGUAAACGGUGGGUACUAGGUGUGGGUUUCCUUCCUUGGGAUCCGUGCCGUANCUAACGCAUUAAGUACCCCGCCUGGGGAGUACGGCCGCAAGGCUAAAACUCAAAGGAAUUGACGGGGGCCCGCNCNAGCGGCGGAGCAUGUGGAUNAAUUCGAUGCAACGCGAANAACCUUACCUGGGUUUGACNUGCACAGGACGCGUCUAGAGAUAGGCGUUCCNUGUGGNCUGUGUGCAGNGGUGCAUGGNUGUCGUCAGCUCNUGNCGUGAG
rnacentral:rRNA from 1 species